rnacentral:lncRNA from 1 species
AAAACCAUCACCGUUCCAUUUUCUCUCUAUUCGGCCUUUGAAAAUCAAGCAGAGGCUACCCACCUCUCUCGCGCGCGCAGCAUCACGUGAGAACCACCACGUUCAGCAACCGCAUCGCACGUAGGGCCACUGAAUCCGAAUAAAUGACAGCCAAUGGGAGUACUCAUGCCUUUCUUCUACAUUCGUCCAAGCUAUAGAGGCAUGUGCGCAGAGGCGUGAUGUUUUGUAGUGUUCAUAAAAUUUGGAUCUAGGGUUAUUUGGAUCAGAUCCAGAAGCUCAAGAGCUCCAGGACCUUGAUGGCAGUAACAUCAUUCUAAACGAAGCUCAAUCCAGGAGGCGUUGGAUUCGUGGCGGACGUAGUAAGAGAGGUUAUGAAGGUGGAGGUGGAGGCUAUGUCCGCCGUGAGGAAGGUUUCUUUGCUGUAAACUCAUCUUUUUGCCACCACCGGUGAUGACGGACAUCGCUACUAUCUGUGCAUGGAUGGUAGUAAGGGUUGGUUCGAUUGGUCGGGAUGUUGGAUGCUUUGAUUGGCUGUGCGAAUCAAUAUUGUCAUCUUGGUUUUGAGUCGAUAGGUGGGGGACUUAGUGGAUGGAGAGGCAUGAUAGAAAUGGUAACAUGUAAUUGGUCAACUGGACUGUUGAUUUGAGGUAUGAGGGCUAUUGACUUUGGGUGGUGGCGAUGUUGUUAGGCUAUGUUGGUGGUGGUGAUGGUGAUGGUGAUGGUGAUGGUGAUGGUGCCGGUGCUGGUGCUGGCGGUGGUCGUUGUUGUCGAGUUGGUUGUGAAGUAGUGAUGGUUUUGUCAAAACGGGCGGGCCGGUUCGAACUGAUCGAAAAAAUUGUAUGGACUCGGGGGACCACUCGUGGCCCGAAAAAUUGUCGGGUGGUCCCGAGCUAGUUCGAUUGGGUCCAAAACGGAUCGGCCCGCUUACAUGGAUGAAGUGAGAAUACACUG